AUAUAUGUCUACAAGGACACAAAAAGAAACGCCUCCUAGAUUCGUAACUUGAACAUACAACUCCUGUAAAUUCUUCGCCUGUGAGUAUGGGCAGGUGAAGAGUUUUAGGUGCAGC
rnacentral:ncRNA from 1 species